UACAAAGUGCUGGCACCUGGUGAGGAU
rnacentral:piRNA from 1 species